AUACGGAGGGUCCGAGCGUUAAUCGGAAUUACUGGGCGUAAAGCGCGCGUAGGUGGUUCAGUCAGUCAGAUGUGAAAGCCCCGGGCUCAACCUGGGAACUGCACCUGAUACUGCUGAGCUAGAGUACGGUAGAGGGCAGUGGAAUUUCCGGUGUAGCGGUGAAAUGCGUAGAGAUCGGAAGGAACACCAGUGGCGAAGGCGACUUCCUGGAUAGAUACUGACACGGAUGUGCAAAAGAUUGGGUAGCAAAAAGGAUUAGAAUCCCUGGUAUUCCACGCCGUAAACGAUGUCAACUAGCCGUUGGGGGACUUGAUCCUUUAGUGGCGAAGCUAACGCGAUAAGUUGACCGCCUGGGGAGUACGGCCGCAAGGUUAAAACUCAAAUGAAUUGGCGGGG
rnacentral:rRNA from 1 species